rnacentral:rRNA from 1 species
GCAGUGCGGGAGCUAUACAUGCAAGUCGAGCGGACAGAUGGGAGCUUGCUCCCUGAUGUUAGCGGCGGACGGGUGAGUAACACGUGGGUAACCUGCCUGUAAGACUGGGAUAACUCCGGGAAACCGGGGCUAAUACCGGAUGGUUGUUUGAACCGCAUGGUUCAAACAUAAAAGGUGGCUUCGGCUACCACUUACAGAUGGACCCGCGGCGCAUUAGCUAGUUGGUGAGGUAACGGCUCACCAAGGCAACGAUGCGUAGCCGACCUGAGAGGGUGAUCGGCCACACUGGGACUGAGACACGGCCCAGACUCCUACGGGAGGCAGCAGUAGGGAAUCUUCCGCAAUGGACGAAAGUCUGACGGAGCAACGCCGCGUGAGUGAUGAAGGUUUUCGGAUCGUAAAGCUCUGUUGUUAGGGAAGAACAAGUACCGUUCGAAUAGGGCGGUACCUUGACGGUACCUAACCAGAAAGCCACGGCUAACUACGUGCCAGCAGCCGCGGUAAUACGUAGGUGGCAAGCGUUGUCCGGAAUUAUUGGGCGUAAAGGGCUCGCAGGCGGUUUCUUAAGUCUGAUGUGAAAGCCCCCGGCUCAACCGGGGAGGGUCAUUGGAAACUGGGGAACUUGAGUGCAGAAGAGGAGAGUGGAAUUCCACGUGUAGCGGUGAAAUGCGUAGAGAUGUGGAGGAACACCAGUGGCGAAGGCGACUCUCUGGUCUGUAACUGACGCUGAGGAGCGAAAGCGUGGGGAGCGAACAGGAUUAGAUACCCUGGUAGUCCACGCCGUAACGAUGAGUGCUAAGUGUUAGGGGGUUUCCGCCCCUUAGUGCUGCAGCUAACGCAUUAAGCACUCCGCCUGGGGAGUACGGUCGCAAGACUGAAACUCAAAGGAAUUGACGGGGGCCCGCACAAGCGGUGGAGCAUGUGGGUUUAAUUCGAAGCAACGCGAAGAACCUUACCAGGGUCUUGACAUCCUCUGACAAUCCUAGAGAUAGGACGUCCCCUUCGGGGGCAGAGUGACAGGUGGUGCAUGGUUGUCGUCAGCUCGUGUCGUGAGAUGUUGGGUAAGUCCCGCAACGAGCGCAACCCUUGGAUCUAGCUGCAGCAUCAGUGGGCACUCUAGGUGACUGCGGUGACAAACCGGAGGAAGGGUGGGGGAUGACGUCAAUCAUCAUU